CUAAGUCUCAUGGCCCUCUAUCAGAAUCCAGAGUUUCAAGAAGAUCAGAGAAACUAAAAUUCUGGGCACACAAAAUAUAAACCGUAGCGAGAAAUGUUUUCAGACAAAGAUUUUCUUAAUUUCUAUUCUUCUGAAGCAGUGUAAUAGUUUAAUGAAUGGGCUUAUUGUGCGUUUAAGACGACCUUGACUCCAUGAGAGGCACUGACAGCAAAAACUAACAGAACGUGUAAAGCCAACCUUAAGUAGUUUAAGUAGAGUAGUUUAAAUGAAGUAUUUUACGGCUGUGAUUGAUGAAACCAGUUUAAAGACGCGUUGAGAAAUUUGCAGGGUUCCCUGAGGGAGCAUUUCUCCCUGGUGUCUUAUUUGUUGAAGGGUUCAUUUAAUUACCUGGAAACAUGACCUCUUGAAAUGUACUUUAAUGUAACCUAGAUUCUCUCCUGCACUAGGCUGUAAAGUGGAGUCAAUCUAUCUUAAUGUAGAAGCAGUGAACACUCACAGAGACAAACCUGAGAAUGUGGACAUCUCCUGUCUGGCAGAAGAGGCUCUUCUCACUGUUCCGGCCCACUAUUGACCUGUGACAUCACAUCCUGUUCAUCAGCAACACUCCAUCAUGCUCUUCCAUCCUUUUUAUGUGACUCCUCUUAUUGGUUUCUUUGUGUUUGAACAGUGGGGGAAAAUCAGUUCUGAGUCCUGAAGAUGAGCAACUUUAGGCCUUUACAUUUGUAUUUUCUCUUUUCUCAAUUGCCACAUAGGUGACUGGAAUCCAGUUAUUGAUUUAUUAACCCUAGUGUUGGGGUGUGAGUGUGCGUUCACGUGUGUAGGUCUGCUUGCAUUCGAGACUGGUUCAGAACAGAUUUGAAUGAGAUGCAAGUAUUGUUUCUAUACAUUUCUACUUAAGAUUUUUGCUAGAACGCUUUGUGUUAUGUGGGACUAAAUGAUCAGUGCAGGUGUGUGUCUUCACAUAAUGACUGUUUACUGCUUUUGUUUUUUGAUUUGGGUUCUGGCUUCACAUUUCUUUAAGCAAUACUUUACAUCUCAGUCAUUCACACACUGGAGUGUCAAUUAAGUAAUUUGGCUUUCAUUUAACACUAAAUGCAAUUCAUAAAAAUAGAAUACUAACUUUGUUUAAAACAAAUGACUGCAGAUUUAUCAACACACAUGGACUUUACUUUGUACAGUGUUAACCACCGGGAUGUUUCAGCUCCUUUCAGAUUUGUGAUGCGAGCGUUUUAAAAAUGCUCAAAAUGUAGCAAGAAUUUUCAAACAUCUUACCUCGGUUACAUUUCCUGCAGGAACAAAAUAUAAUGUUUACAUUUUAAGUCUUGUCACAAUAGGUGGGUGAUAUUUCUAUUUUAUUUUUGCACAUUAAGCAUACUUAUUUUCUUUGACUAUUUUUGACAAAACUAUUUCUUAAAUCUCAACUAUAUAUUUGAAAUUGAUUUGUGCUUUAAUUUUUUUUUUUUUUACUUUACUUUACAGUCUAGUGUUUAAGGAGAUUAAGUGAUUAAAGUGUUCAUCUCAAUUACUGUCAUGCUUAUUACUAGGAUUAUUUCUUUUUCAUCUAUUAUUUGAAGAGCACCUCUGAGAACUAAAUGUGAAGAGCUCUGUGAAUCUGUGACGUAUUCUGUCCUGCAGGUCGCUGUGAUCAGUAGGGCUGAAUAUGCUAAUGUGCUUGAAGCUCAUGGUUCUCAAAUUUGAUGCACAAUGUCACAUUUUUUCAUUAAAUCAUUCUGUCAUGUAA